GCAUUCAUUUCUAAAUAUAAAAUAAUUUGAAUUUUUUGAUAAAGUUUGUGGAAUGUCUGUUCCUGUUUCAACAGGACAAUCCUCACUCCUCGUUUUUUUUUUUAGAACUGGGCCGUACGGAGCUCAGACUUCAACCCAAUCCAAAACGUCCGUCUACGAGCCUUCAUCGCACAACUUCGGUGACCGGCCAACAUGUACGGCAAUGUGGCUUUAUUCUCAACGCUGAUAUGUUAGCGUCAGUAAACUGUUGAUGGCAGAUCUGGAGCACCUGGGAGCGGUGAGCCAAU
ensembl:lncRNA